CUCACAGUGUCCGGGUGGGCUUCCUUUUCGCUCAGUGCUGAAGCCGCUCAUCGGCGGGUUCGGGAAUGGUCUCCUCGCCUCCUGGGUCGGGAUCACUGUCCGCGGGCCGAACAUAUCACUUUCCCAUCGCUGCACCCUCUCUAACAUGCUGGUAGAGAGAGUUUUAUUUGGGUUUUCUUUAGCGCUGGAAAUGGUUACAUCCCGACACGCGGGACAGAAGCAAGGUCGCAUUGUGUAUUCCACGGACCAGCAAACCCCGGCCGGCUUAGCGAACAGAGCGGUGGACACCCCUGCCGAAAUCCUGAGGAAAACACAGAGGGGGAUCACAAAGCCGAGGAAAGAGGACCGGGUCGAGACAACAGAGACUUUUGGAGACGAGGAGUUUCGGUGGGUAAUACCGUUCCGGUUGACUGGAAGUGCACUGAGAGCGGUAAGCGGCGGAAAGGAAUUGGGUGCUUACUGUUCUGGCUAACAACGGACGGUGCAAUCCGAAGUAUAUUACGAUCGAGGAACGUGUUUGCAGACUGGAUACUGAACUUUUUACUGUUGGACUUCGGCCACAUUCCACCGUGAUACAACACUUGGCGGCACGGGAGGUCGUUCCUGCCUGUGGCCAUCGAACGUGCAGCUCCUCCCGUGGAGGGUCAGACACCCUGAGCCAUUAGACUGGUCCUCGACUUAUUUUCCAUCUGGCAUAGUUUGCAUUUUGUUGUUUGAUUGUUGGGAUUUUUUGUAAUGCUAUAUUUACGCUCUAUUCUUGUUUGGUGCGGCUGUAACGAAACCAAAUUUCCCUCGGGAUUAAUAAAGUACAUCUAUCUAUCUAUCAAUUACAUACUUAGUACCCAGUUAUCUGGGCUUGUCAAUAAUGUGUAGACUUCACUUAAUCUGCAUUGAACGAUCCAAACCGGGAGCCCAGGCUGUCUAUUUCGGCAGAAUUGAAAUGGAACUCCCGCCAACAGAUCACGUGAGGUUGUUUACCGCAGCUCUGCCCCGCCCUCUGCAUUGUGACGCAAGAUCACGUGGUGUUUGGUUGGUGGUGAUGCUUCCUCCAUGUUUUGGGGAAUCAGACGUUGGCCACUGAGUCCCGUUAACUUCCCCCAACUUGCCUCGCUUCCUGAGGCUCCUCGCAUUUGUCCUUUGAGCUUAUGGCUGUUGUGUCUUCUCCCUGAUUUGGAUGGAUGAAAAAGGAGAACAUCCCAGGUUGUGGGGAUCUUUGAUUUCACUGCCUGCUUUACCGAGGGUCUGGGAAGUCUGGGGGGGGGGCGCGGGGAAUGGUUUCUGUGAUGUGCGGAUCUGUAUCCAAUAGCCAAUAGACAGUAGGUGCAGGAGUAGGCCAUUCGGCCCUUCGAGCCAGCACCGCCAUUCACUGUGAUCAUGGCUGAUCAUCCACAAUCAGUAUCCAGUUCCUGCCUUAUCCCCACAACCUUUGAUUCCACUAUCUUUAAGAGCUCAAUCCAUCUCUUUCUUGAAAGCAUCCAGAGACUUGGCCUCCACAGCCUUCUAGGGCAGAGCAUUCCAUAUAUCCACCACUGUCUGGGUGAAAAUGUUUUUCCUCAGCUCUGUUCUAAAUGGCCUACCCCUUAUCCAAAUUUUUCUGCCAUUCCGCGCAGUCACGGGCAGAGUAGUUACCAUGCAAAGCAUGAAGUGUCCAGAUGGGAAACUUUCUACGUUGUGUUGAUAAAAAUUUGGUGAGGGUCAAAGGGCAUAUGCCAAAGUUCUUGUUGUUUGUUCUAAUUUUGUCAUUUUAGGAUAUUUUAUGCAGUGGUAUGUGCUAUUCAUUCAGUAUCUGUGUAUUGCUGGAGGACGAUCAGUGAUUGUCCUUGAUCCCUUCUCCCACUUGGUUCCAUCUGCUCAUCUCUGCCCAUCUUGUUCAAACUCUGUCCAGUCUCCUCACCCCCCGCCCCCUACUCCUGCUUCAAUGGUGUAUAUCAACAACCUGGGUAAACCUCAGUCUACCCUGUAUCCCACCACCUCAAUGUUAUAUAUCACCAAUCUUCUAACCUUUCUGUUCAUUGUGAAGUGUUCUUUUGCACUUUUGGCCUCACUGAGUUAUUUCCAGAAUUGUUUUUUGUUAGCUGGAAUGCCAGAGGGUCAUCAGGUACCAGUUUUGUUAUGCAUUGAUGUGGGAGUGCUAGUUUUUGAACAGUGACUGGCUGACACACUGCAGCAUUUUACUGGCAACAAAGAGUACUGGGAGAGUUGGUGCUUGGGCUAUAAUCCUGUGAUCUACAUUCCAGGGAUAUGGAACUGUUGGUGUUUUGGUUUUGACUUUGGUUAAUGCUUCUACAGAUGGGGAUGGAUGGUCGUCCUUCUGCAAUGAAGCAGAAAUUUCGAGCUGCUGGACAUUGGUUGUGGGGAAAUCCAGGAUUGCACUACCCAGUGUGAGAUGUGGGGACGAUGUGUGAGUCUCUCAGGGUCGGUGAUUGGCAGUUUCAGCUGUGUGACUCUGUGAGGUUGAGUCCUGGGAUAUCACAGUUUUUGAUCCAGGUAAAUUGGACCCAGGGACCGAGCUGCCCAGGCUUAUGAGGUGUUGAGCAAGUUUUUCUGGUCUGGGAUCAGAUGUUUGUUUCUGGAGUUCCUUUGGAAGCAAUGACUGCUAAUCUGAGGAAAGGAUGAGUAGCUUCAGUGUUACAGGAGGGAGGCAGGAAUAUGGUGUUGGAAUAAAACUCAACCAUGGUUGAGUGUUGGGGCAAACCAGAUGGAUCGAAUCACUUAAUUCUGUACCUGUAUCUUAUGUCUUACCAUGACAGAAUGAUGGCUCGUUCUUAUCCCAUAUCGUUUUGUGACAUGUGAGAGACAAUAAAAGAUUGUUCACUGAGAUCAUUAUACUUACUUUCAAUGUUUAAAUUUCAGCGAGUUUUGUUCUUAGAAACA